GAAUAUGCUACCGUUUUGAUUUUGAAGAGUCAUAAAUUAGUUUCUAAAUAAUCGUUUGUUUGCAGAUUUGGAGAGAAUAAGUCUCGGAAAAGGUAUGUGGAAGUAAUUAGUUGGGAUCACAGCCUAAAGAAGAGAUUUUAGAAAUAAAGGAUCGACAUUAUUGAGAUAGAUUUUUGGAACGCAAUAUCUUUUAUUUAAUUUUCGAUUUUCAUAAUCCAAUUGCGGAAGAAGUUAAGGAAACAGAAAAUAUUUGGU
rnacentral:lncRNA from 1 species